GAUGAACGCUGACAGAAUGCUUAACACAUGCAAGUCUUUGGCGAAGCUGUGCUUGCACAGCCUAGCCAAGGCGGACGGGUGAGUAACGCGUAAGGAACUUGCCCUGCAGUCAGGGAUAACAGACGGAAACGACUGAUAAGACCUGGUAAAGUCAGGCGGACUCAUGUCCAGCCUGAUGAAAAGAGAUGCUGCAGGAGAGCCUUGCGUCCUAUUAGCUUGUUGGUGGGUUAACGGCCCACCAAGGCGAUGAUAGGUAGCCGGCCUGAGAGGGUGGACGGCCACAAGGGGACUGAGAUACGGCCCUUACUCCUACGGGAGGCAGCAGUGGGGAAUAUUGGACAAUGGGGGCAACCCUGAUCCAGCAAUUCUGUGUGCACGAUGAAGGUUUUCGGAUUGUAAAGUGCUUUCAGCGGGGAAGAAAAAAAUGACGGUACCUGCAGAAGAAGCGACGGCUAAAUACGUG
rnacentral:rRNA from 1 species